rnacentral:sRNA from 1 species
UACCGUUGUUUAUGCCUCUUCCAUAGUG